AUGGUGUCCCCGUGGUGUCCCCGUGGUGUCCCUGUGGUGUCCCCAUGGUGUCCCCGCAGUGUCUCCCACUGCUCCCUGCUGCGUGUCCCCUGCCAGCCCACCCAGCGCCCACUGGGACCCAGCCGCAGGCACCCAGCGCCGCGGGCACACCAGGGCUGUGCGUGCAUGGGGCCGGGAGGGCAGCGGCACCUGGAGGGCGUGCAAAGGGCUGCGUGUGAGCAGGUGUACGCGCGUGCAAUGUGUGUGUGCGUGUGCAUGGGCGGCCUGUGCCGUGUGUACGUGAGCACGGGACUGCACAUAGGCAGGGCGCGUGCAGCCCUGCCUGAGCCCGCAGGUGCUGCGUGUGCCUUGCACACCUGUGCACGCCCAUCUUUGCAUGUGCACGACGACACGUGCACACCCUGCGGGGGCGGUGCCUGGGGUGCUUGGAGCCCUGCGGUAAGGAGUGGUGUGAGCGCGCAGUGGGUGUGCGGGGGGGCGUGCACGUGGGGGUGUGGGCGCACAAGUGACGUGUGCGCAACGAGGGUGCGCGUGGGGGUGUGUAAGGAUGGGGCGGGUGUGACCGCGGGGCAUGCAUGGGGUGGCUGGCGAUGCUCUUGGUGCUGUAGCUGGGGGUCCCCGGGGGUGCGGGGCUGGGGAUUGCAGUGCCCCGGUGCUGCGCCGCUGGACCCUGGUGCUGUGGUGCUGGACCCCGGUGCUGCGCCACCCCCGGGGUUACAACUGCUCCCCGUGGAGCUGUGGGAAAGGCUUUGUCAGCGCAGGGCAGAGAGCAAGGGUGAGCCAGGGCUGGGCGGCCUUGGCACAUGCCCCAGCGGGCAUGGGCAAGGGAUUUCCCUGCUGUCCUUGGAGCCGCCCGGCCCCUGCUCUUGGCCCUGUGUUUACAGCUUGUUUUGGGGUGGCGCGGACACUCCCGGGGCUGCAGGGGGACCAGCAGCUGGCGAGCCCCAGCCCCCUUUGAGGGCUGCAUGGCAGCUGUGGGGUGAGGGAGCUCCGUGCCCCUUGCCACCCCCCGGGCCGGUGGGCGCUGCGAGGCGCUCCCGCUGUCGGGGUCAGAUGGUGGCGGUGUCAGUCACCCCCUCCGUGCUGGCACCAGCACACCCCAGGGACUCUGCAUGCAGAGGAUCUUUGUCCCGUGGGCACAGCGGGAUGGGCACAGCACCGGGAUCCUGCAUCCCACUGGGAUCCUGCAUCCCGCCAGCAUCCCACAUCCCACCAGGAGCUGGGGGCCCCCAUGGCCGUGCCAUCGCGGUGGCAGUGCCCGUCCAACCCUUCAGAGCCCCCCCGGCCAGGUGGUGUUUGCUCCAGCAGCCCCGAGUUGGUAUUUGCCCCGACGCCUCCCUGCAAACCUGCUGCGGCCGGUCCCAGCCCCGCCUGCGUGCCCUUCCUCGCUGGGAGGAGGAGGAGGAGGAGGAGACGGCGGCUGAGGGCCAGCGUGCCACACUCCUCCUUCAUGUCGGGGAAGCUGAAGAAGAGCAGGAAGGCGGUGCUGGGGGAGAAGCUGUGGCAGAGCCUGGAGGAGAGGGGCAGUGCGGGCACCCAGCCGGGGUCGCACCCCGCACUCACCAGGUCCAAAACCUACGACCCCUCCUGUAA
ensembl:lncRNA